UGGGGAAUAUUGCACAAUGGGCGCAAGCCUGAUGCAGCCAUGCCGCGUGUGUGAAGAAGGCCUUCGGGUUGUAAAGCACUUUCAGCGGGGAGGAAGGCGUUAAGGUUAAUAACCUUGGCGAUUGACGUUACCCGCAGAAGAAGCACCGGCUAACUCCGUGCCAGCAGCCGCGGUAAUACGGAGGGUGCAAGCGUUAAUCGGAAUUACUGGGCGUGAAGCGCACGCAGGCGGUCUGUCAAGUCGGAUGUGUAAUCCCCGGGCUCAACCUGGGAACUGCAUUCGAAACUGGCAGGCUAGAGUCUUGUAGAGGGGGGUAGAAUUCCAGGUGUAGCGGUGAAAUGCGUAGAGAUCUGGAGGAAUACCGGUGGCGAAGGCGGCCCCCUGGACAAAGACUGACGCUCAGGUGCGAAAGCGUGGGGAGCAAACAGG
rnacentral:rRNA from 1 species